ACGAGCCAAUCUCGCGGCCGUCUCCCUCGCUUCCUCCGCAGCCUCGCAGCCGCCUCCCCCGCUCCCUCCGCACCGCAGCCGCCCUCCACAGCCCGCAGCCGCCUUCCCCGCUCCCUCUGCACCUAGCCCCCCGCUCCCCUCCUUCUCUACUCUGCUCUCCACUAUGCCGCCUCCUCCUCUCUCACUUUUCUCUCCGGCGGCGGUGCCAAAGAAGGCGCACACGGGCGGUGGAUCCGUGCCGGAGAAGAGCUGCGGGACUGCGCUUCGGUCGUGGUGGGGUGCAGCCGCGGGGAAGACGAACUUGGUCCGCCGCCCGUCUUCACCUUCUCGCCGCGACCUUGCUGCCUCCAUGGCCAAACACACGUAUUUUUUUUUUCUGUCCCUCCAUGGCGCUCGUUGCCGGCGGCAUCUCUCUUUUCCCCCUUACCCUCCCUUUUUAUCUACCUGCUGUUGCUCAUCCUCCAAUCUCUUAAAUUCAGACAGGCUGGACGCAACGCACACGGUCUAGGAAGGCCACGACAUGACUAGAUAUUUGCUUGCUUGGUUUAGUCGCUUGUAAUCAGUGUACAUGCAUGUGACUUGUCCAUGUUAGCUUUUGUUUUUGCAGAUUAUCGGUUAUUUUUUGUGUUCGAACUUUUUUUGUGUUCUUUUAUUAUCAAUUGUAGGUGCUGCUUCUAUCUUCUGGAAGUUAACAGCAUUUUUCCUUGUAAAAUCCUCACACCAGGCUGUCAUUGACAAGGAAAGGAGAGGAGACUACUUGAAGAAAACGUCCAGGUUGGGCCACAUAUCACAGAUGGAAUUCAGGAUUGGAUCGAACGCGUGGCGAUAAAGCUGGUUGACGGUAAACAAGGGACUCCUGAUGUUUGUGUGAUAGUUUCGUUGGAACUAUAGGUAAACAAGAUAAUUUCAUGUGUAGCACAGCUUGCAAUGCAGCACACUUAAAGCAUACAUGUGGAAGUGUGCAGUUCCUUCGGAUGUUCCCAUAGCUAUGUAAGUCUGCCCAGUGCAGGGACAAAAUCUUUUCUCACCGCGCAUAAUGACAGUGGCACUCUUGAUGAGGGGAUAUUGAAUCAAUGCAUUUUAUUGAAGCAUUAGGUCAAUUUUCAUACCGUGUAGGACCUGGAAAUUUUUGCCUCGUCCAUGUCAGCCUUGUUCCAGUACUAAAUGUAGUUGGUGAGCAGAUUUGCAUAGAGCGGACCACCUUGCAACAGUGUUGGGUUAUAUAACCCAUGGUUUCUUCAUGAUUCGACUUUAUUAUCAGAUCCAUGCAAGAGAACCCGGGUAGCAUGAUUUUGGCAGGAGAAAGGAGGAUUAUCAUUUCUAGAGGGGAACUCCAGUUCCGAAAAGUUUAUACUCACCAGUGAGCUAUUCCCAGUAGAAAUUACUGGACAGGAGCAAAAUUCUUUUUCAAGAUCAUGUGAGUUGAGCUGCAGCUUGGUUGGAGAUGUUGGUGCGGUUCAAGAGGCCCGCUGGGUUCACCCUUUUCAAGGUUCUAAACCAGGGCAAGCUCAACAAGGUCGAGGAUCUAUGGAAGGAGUUCACGACUCGGACUCGACGAGAAAGUUUUGUGCUUCAUUUUUUUUAUGGCAAAAUAACUUCUCUUUUUGAAACAAUUAGUACGCCAUAUAUCUAUCACAUUAUAAUAGAGUAAGUCAACAAAAUCCCUUUUAUUUGAAUGAACAAGAAUCCGUUGUGUGCUGCUGAGCUAUGUGCCCCUUUUCCAAAUGUUAGAAAGGUUAUCUUAGUUGUCACAUAGAAGUUGGUUUGGGCUUCUAGGCUCAUUUGAUGUUUGCAUGACUUAUUUGAACCCGAUGCCGGCCUCACCGGCAUCCUGAGGUGACACAGCGACGGCCAUGCUCGACACCCUCUUUCGCGACUUGACGACAGCCUAGCGUCAUAGGCAGCUCAUCGGUGGUCCAGCGGAUGGCGACCCAUUUGGGUGGGUGACGACGACCGCAGCUGGUGCACAAGCUCACACUCCACCAGUCCGUACUCAACUCUUCGUCUCGGGUGCGGACUGAGAGUUGGAUGCUCUGUGCCAGGAUAUGAAAGUUUUGUGACCAUUGUUGUGCCAGCUGUGAGAUUUGUAAAAAAAAUUCUUGGGAUCCAUCUAUUCAACCAUGUUGGAGUAGGCUAUAUGAUCUUUUUAGUUCUGACCACAUAUGCUUCUUCCUUGGUCUGUUCACCAAGUCAUGGACACCGACUUAAAAAAUGAACAAUGCUACCCCUUCAGCUGCAGGUGCAGGGUUGACAGUGACAGCAGAUGGAGCUUCUCUGACCGCUACUGAAGACACCGCUGAACAGCUUAACCAGACAAAGACAAAGUGCUAUUAUGUAGGCAUGGUUUAAAAACUAUAGCCUUUGGCUGGUCAAGUAGCCUUGCCAAAGCGUUUGUGUAAUCUCUACAAGUGGUAUGAAGCAAAUUCUAUGUAUAUAACACACACGAUGCAGAUAAUAAUUAUAUAGAAGCAGAGAAUCAACCUUGCUAGAGCGUUUGUCAAAUCUCUACUCAAGUAGCCUUGCCAAACUUUAUCUGUUGUGUUCUUUACAUG